rnacentral:lncRNA from 1 species
AACAAGUGGUACCAUAGGCUAAAUAAUUGGGUACUUGCGUUUAGGUUUUUGUACAGGGAGGUAGACUGUGAAAAUGAUGGUAAUCUAGGACUGCCUAAUUUGUUUUUCAACAUUUUUUUCCAAUUCAAAGUAAUUUCGAACCUAUUGUCAAACAAUGUAUGAUGAAGCACGUGGCUUAAGAUCCAUAUUUAUUACAAUCCUUG